rnacentral:misc_RNA from 1 species
GAUGAAGAACGCAGUAAAAUGCGAUAAGUAAUGUGAAUUGCAGAAUUCAGUGAAUCAUCGAAUCUUUGAACGCACAUUGCGCCCGCCAGUAUUCUGGCGGGCAUGCCUGUUCGAGCGUCAUUUCAACCCUCAAGCACAGCUUGGUGUUGGGACUCGCGUUAAUUCGCGUUCCUCAAAUUGAUUGGCGGUCACGUCGAGCUUCCAUAGCGUAGUAGUAAAACCCUCGUUACUGGUAAUCGUCGCGGCCACGCCGUUAAACCCCAACUUCUGAAUGUUGACCUCGGAUCAGGUAGGAAUACCCGCUGAACUUAAGCAUAUCAAUAAGCGGAGGA